ensembl:processed_transcript
CCUUCCGUAUGGCGUACACUAACGACAGACUCCCCGGAAGUGGGGACACGGUUCUGUGACUCUGGAGCUGCUUCGACAGUAAAGCAAGCGGGUAGACACCAUACGACAGGUUUCCAGUUAUUGAAAUGUCACUCUUGUGUAGCAGUUUGUGUCAAGAAAACUGAGCACGUACGUAGCUACCAGCCUCGCAUGGAAGCACGGGCAUGGUGGCUCUAUCCGAGCCUCUGAGAGCGAGCGCCCUGGGCGCUACGUUAGCACCGGUUCUUGAUUCCCGAUCACGGGCCCAGUGCACGUUUGGCUAGCCUUUCCUGCUAGCCGGUCCCAUUUGAUUAGCUGUGGGCCUGUCACCACGCCUCGGCUUCCUUGCGGCCCGUGAUGACGAAGCUUGCCAAAGCAGUUCACAGUGAGCAAGAGACUGUUAGAAGGUGAAGAUCGGGUGUUCAGAACUCCUGCUGUAAAAACUGGAUUCUGAGUUUCCGCUGUUUUAGAACAGAACAGAGCAUCGGCCCUGGCCCUGCGAUGGCUUGCAGAGGAAGCUUUGACUUGGCCAUGGCUUCGAGCCUGCUAUCUUAUCCGCUGAGAAGCGUGCCUCACUUGUCUAAUGGUAUCAGUAUAAGCCAUCAAAAACACCAGGCUGCUGGGCAGAAUUUCUUUUAAGAAUCAAAAUGUAGGAAACCUUUUUAAGGCUAGAAAAAAAACAUGACAAUUCUGUUUAAUUUUAGGGGUAAGUACACUCUCCUCCCUCAACAACCGACAAAACAUCCAAGUAGAAAAUAACUACCAGGUAUAAAGAUUGGCCUGGCUUCAGAUUUCUUCUCCGUUCUAGGGGCAGAGGGAUAAACAACACUAAGCGCUUUUUCAGUAGGCGUGGCACUGUUCCAGCCAGAGAGCAGUGCUGUCAUUUCACAGCUAGAGGCAGGAGGAAAGGAAGCAGGCCAGCAGCUGAGCAGUCACGUAGCAGGGAGGCCCCAGUUGCACAACCCAUGAGUUUGAUGGUCACCAUUUUUAUUUUUUUUACCAUGAUUUCCAAUUUCUUAAUGAUUUCCAUUUUGACAUGACUCAUAACUAGACUAUGACCAGUCUAGUUCACACAUAUAUGCCUCUCCCGAGUCUCCCUCAUUGUGCCAAUGUCCUUAGCAAGCUCUCUCUCUGCCCCCCAGUCUCCUGCUUGCACACCCCAGACCCAGUGCACAGCUAUCAAAGGGGAACAGCAUGGGCACCCUAUUAAGGAGAUCUGUACUGUCAGCGCUUUGGUUGACUUUUCUAAUGACUCUCAUAAGAAAAUAAUGUGGAUAAAAUUACACGUUCAAAGUUCGAUUUUAUUUCAAAAUGAUAAAUAAACCGGCAUAGUUCUGACUCUGUACUAUUUCAGAAAGGCUUGUGAAGUUCAUUAACAGUUUAGAGAGGGCUCCAGUCAGACCAGAAGGUUGCCAAUCAAACUUGUGAUUGGCAGAGACAGCAGCCUCUUUGAUCUUCAGAGGUUUGUAAAAGCUCUCCACCCUAAUUUCUGUGUAUCAUAAAAAGUAAAAAGCACUUUUAUUCUGUCCUUUUCUCCUUUAAUUUUUCUUUUUUAAACCAGCAAAAAAGGACUACUUAUUUUUAUGACUUCAUUUUUAUGAGCACAACAGUUCUGUCAAUUACUUAGAGAAGGAAGCCCUCAAAGAUGUGUCAGUGGUGCUGUGGUCGUCCACCAAGGCCCACACUGACAGGUGCUUGCAUUCCAUGCUAUCAUUUCUACAAUGAGCCAUGAAGAAUGCUUGUAGACCCUAUGUACAGCAGUAUAGUCCACAUGUCCUUGAUGUGCGUCCAUACCACGAUCCAGGAACAACAGAGAGAAUCCCCUCUUGGAAAUCAAAAGGGGAUGUGUAGGGAAAGAGGGCUAACUCCUCUGGUGAGCAGCACACUAUUUUUAGAGUGCUUUGAAAGAACUAAAAUCCAUGACGCUGUAGUCAUUGAAUUCUGGCCCUCAGUUAUAUUUUUCUUUUAAGUUGACUUUCUAUUAAAAUCUUCAAAUCUCUGGAGAUUGGUGGUAUAGUUAGACUAUAUUAAAAUUUUUCUUUUCCUUAUUAACAAUUUCAUUAAAAUUUAAAAAAUUACGAUGCCCCUCAACUGUUACGUUGAAGCCUGAUCUGUGUCACUGUGUCCUGUGCCAUGAACCUAAUUUCCCAAGUGGCCACGGACACCUGAGUGGCAUUUCCAGUGCUGCAGUUCCUUCCCUCAUGAUUCCUGCUGGGUCCUCUUCACUGAGGCUCUCCCCUGAGUCAUAUAUUUACUGGAAAGGCUACCUAGGAGGGAAAACAAAAUCCAACAUAAACAAAAAGAAUGGUGUUUGAGCAAAGUCACACAAUACUUAUUGUCAGUUACUGACAGACACGUGUCCCACCACAAAGGGCACUCGUCCUGAGUCGAGCAGUUAGGCUAGGUAUAAACAAGUGCACAGCCAUCAGAGGUGCUGGGCAGUGCUUAGACACCGCUUCCUCAGUGCUGGUAAGGUACAGCCCUGAGGCUGUUCAAUGCAGCCACAGGCAGGCACUGAGACUGGAAGAAACAUUUUGAAAGUUCUUUACAUAGAAUAUUCUUUUUGUUUGUAGCUCACAGACUGCAAAGAGAUCGCUGGCCAGAAAUUAGUACCUCAUACCAUUACCCUUUAGAAGUCUAGUAAUACCUUAUGGAUGUACAAGGAGAAAAUAAAAUUCUCUGUACUUAAUUAGUAGUGAAGCCAUCCACAGCUUACAACAAGUACUGUGUUCUGGAGUCUGAGCACAUACAAGAGGGAAUGAGAGCCCAUGUGACUACGACUGUACAAUGAAGGCUCUACUCAAACCAAUGGAAGGAAUGCAAAGGGUUUAGUAACUGGUACCAUGCCAGCUACAGGUUUUAAAAGCAGAAUCUCAUUGUGAGGCCUUGGAUGACUUAAAAUUCAUUAUGUAGCCCAGGCUAGCCUAGAAUUGAUAUUUGCCUGCUUCUGAGUGUGGGGAUUAAAUACUACACCAUGACCACCACACCUGGCUUGCACCCAUAACUUCUGAGGGGGAGAAGGAAGCUAGCUCCCUUCUUAAACUGUCACUCCUGUCAUUUCCAAAUGAAGUGUAGAAUUAAAUGUAAG